rnacentral:rRNA from 1 species
CGCGGCCUAUCAGCUUGUUGGUGGGGUGAUGGCCUACCAAGGCGACGACGGGUAGCCGGCCUGAGAGGGCGACCGGCCACACUGGGACUGAGACACGGCCCAGACUCCUACGGGAGGCAGCAGUGGGGAAUAUUGCGCAAUGGGCGAAAGCCUGACGCAGCGACGCCGCGUGGGGGAUGAAGGCCUUCGGGUUGUAAACCCCUUUCAGCAGGGACGAAGCGAAAGUGACGGUACCUGCAGAAGAAGCGCCGGCUAACUACGUGCCAGCAGCCGCGGUAACACGUAGGGCGCAAGCGUUGUCCGGAAUUAUUGGGCGUAAAGAGCUCGUAGGCGGUCUGUUGCGUCCGCUGUGAAAACUCGGGGCUUAACCCCGAGCCUGCAGUGGAUACGGGCAGACUAGAGGUAGGUAGGGGAGAAUGGAAUUCCCGGUGUAGCGGUGAAAUGCGCAGAUAUCGGGAGGAACACCGGUGGCGAAGGCGGUUCUCUGGGCCUUACCUGACGCUGAGGAGCGAAAGCGUGGGGAGCGAACAGGAUUAGAUACCCUGGUAGUCCACGCCGUAAACGUUGGGCGCUAGGUGUGGGAUCCUUCCACGGAUUCCGUGCCGCAGCUAACGCAUUAAGCGCCCCGCCUGGGGAGUACGG